CAAACUGGAAUGCUGCAGUAUUGUGUAGAUGCUGAACGAGAAGGCCCCAACCCAUCCAAGCAGGAUGUCUCAGGACACCAUGACAGAUAAGUGAUGGCACACGUUUGCAGCUUUGAAAGGAUCUCCUGAGAGGAGCUGUAACCAUUUGUAUUUGUCCUAUUCCACAUAUAGAAAAGAAAGCAAGAGCUGGGAGCAGAGAUGUUGAAAAGGUAUUUAUUUAGAUUGAAGUAAGCAGUCAGGAGAUUUUACAGAACUACCACAAUAAUAAUAUGAAGGAAAACAACUUUGGAGGACUUCAGCUCUGUGAUCAAAGCAGCAAAAGAUGAGUGACUCCAAAAGCCUCAUGAUAAAACAUACUUCCCACCUCUCGACCGAGGUAAUAGACUUGGGAUGCAGAAUGAGAUAGAUUGCUUUUCUUAGACAUGGCCAAUGUGUUGAUUCAUUUUGCUGGACCACUCAUAAUUGCUAACAGGAAGGGCUUCUUCUGCUAUAAGGGAAGGGUAGUACGUUAAUGUGUGGAGUAACUGGUAUGCCACCCCCCAAAAACAACAACACCAACAAUAGAACAGUUCUUUUUUGAAUGCACAGAAGAAAAACAAAAAACACACGAGAUACAAACAAAUAUAGAAGUUUUGUUAUUACCUUAUAUGUGUAUA